UACGAAGGGGGCUAGCGUUGUUCGGAAUUACUGGGCGUAAAGCGCACGUAGGCGGACUCUUAAGUCAGGGGUGAAAUCCCGGGGCUCAACCUCGGAAUUGCCUUUGAUACUGUGAGUCUUGAGACCGGAAGAGGUGAGUGGAAUUCCUAGUGUAGAGGUGAAAUUCGUAGAUAUUAGGAAGAACACCGGUGGCGAAGGCGGCUCACUGGUCCGGUUCUGACGCUGAGGCGCGAAAGCGUGGGGAGCAAACAGG
rnacentral:rRNA from 1 species